GGCUUUUGAUAGAGGCCCCUUGGUAUGGAAACCUGCUAAGUGGUAACUUCCAAAUUCAGAGAAACCCUGGAAUUAAAAAUGGGCAAUCCUGAGCCAAAUCUUUAUGUUAAGAAAACAAAGGAUAGGUGCAGAGACUCAAUGGAAGCUGUUCUAACAAAUGGAAUUGACGUUGACUACGUUGCGUUGGUAGCUGGAAUCCCUCUAUCGAAAUUACAGAAAGGAUGACCCUAUAUGCGUAUAUAUACAUACUGACAUAUCAAACGAUUAAUCACAACUCGAAUCUGGAAUCCAUAUUAUUAACUAUAACUAGUAUAUUAUAGUUAUUAUUAUAUAUAUUUUUUUAUAUUUUAAAAAAGAUAUAUUUUUAUAUAAAUUUAUAGAUUAAUUAAGAGUUAUUAUAAAUAUAUUCCAGUCGAAGUUGAAGGAAGAAUCGAAUAUUCAGUAUUCAGUGAUCAAAUCAUUCAUUCCGGAGUCGGAUAGAUCUUUUGAAAAAAUGAUUAAUCGGACGAGAAUAAAGAGAGAGUCCUGUUCUACGUGUCAAUACCGACAGCAAUGAAAUUUAUAGUAUUAGGAAAAUCCGUCGACUUUAGAAAUCGUGA
rnacentral:ncRNA from 1 species